AAGUCGUAACAAGGUUUCCGUAGGUGAACCUGCGGAAGGAUCAUUAUCGAGUUUUGAAAGGGGUUGUAGCUGGCCUUUCGGGGCAUGUGCACGCCUCGCUCAUUCCAACUCUAACACCUGUGAACUAGCUGUAGGUCGGUUUUGAAGUGAGCUCUAACGAGCGAGCUUUGGGCCUUCCUAUGUCUUUAACAAACUCUUGUCGUAUCAGAAUGUAUUCGCGCUUUAUAAACGCAUCAAUAUAACUUUCAGCAACGGAUCUCUUGGCUCUC
rnacentral:misc_RNA from 1 species